CGUAGGGUGCGAGCGUUAAUCGGAAUUACUGGGCGUAAAGCGUGCGCAGGCGGUUUGUUAAGAUAGGCGUGAAAUCCCCGGGCUCAACCUGGGAACUGCGCUUAGUGACUGGCAAGCUAGAGUACGGCAGAGGGGGUGGAAUUCCACGUGUAGCAGUGAAAUGGGUAGAGAUGUGGAGGAACACCAAUGGCGAAGGCAGCCCCCUGGGUCGAUACUGACGCUCAUGCACGAAAGCGUGGGUAGCAAACAGGAUUAGAUACCCUGGUAGUCCACGCCCUAAACGAUGUCAACUAGGUGUUGGGAGGGUAAAACCUUUUAGUACCGGAGCUAACGCGUGAAGUUGACCGCCUGGGGAGUACGGCCGCAAGGUUA
rnacentral:rRNA from 1 species